ACGAACUGUGGAGUAGCAGCGUGGGUAAUACGAAGGGUGUGAGCUUUAGUCUGAAUUACUGUGCCUAAAGGGUGCGUGGGGAGUUCUGUAAGUAUGGCGUGAAAUGCCCGUGCGCGACCGGGGAAUUGCGAUGGCUACUGGCGAGCGAUAGUGUGUCAGAGGAUGGUGGAAUUCCCGGUGUAGCGGUGAAAUGCGUAGAGAUCGGGAGGAACAUCAGUGGCGAAGGCGGCCAUCUGGGACAACACUGACGCUGAAGCACGAAAGCGUGGGGAGCAAACAGGAUUAGAUACCCGUGUAGUC
rnacentral:rRNA from 1 species